ACAUGUUUGAACAUAAUUAGCUUCACAUAAUAAUGUUUAAAUAACAAAUUAUUUAUUUUUUAACAAUAUUUUGAUGUUUUAAAAAUAUGCCAAACCAUGAUUUCCUAAUUAAAUGCAUUAUAAGAAUAGCAUUGCCUCUUUUGUGACUAUGCAUAUGCCACAUUUAGUCUUUAAGGUACUAAUUAGGAUUUGAACCUGUACAGUAAAUUGUAGUUGACAGAAAACACCUUAAAAACACUGAAAUGUGUGAUAACAAUCUCAAAAACAAAAUGUAUUUUUUUCUUUUAGUUUUCUUUUUAGUGCAUUUAGGAACACAUGGUAACAUUUUUAUAAUUUUUUUUUAUUUUUCCUCUUAAAAAUUUUUCCCUGAAUAAUUCAGAGUCUUUGAAAAAGGUUUAUGGUAAAUGGUUAUACACAAUCAUCAUCAGUCAUUUUAGCAACCAACACAUUCUCACACCCUAAGUGGCAAAAAAUGACUCGGUGUGACCAAGCAUUUGUUUCUGACAUGUCGGUAUGCGACGCCCGCGGUAAAAUGGACAUUAGAUCGAAUUGUGACCUUUACCCUCUUGCCAUUUAACCUUCCCCUCACCCCCAACCUAACCUUAACCAGCUUGCGCAUGCAAAGCGUUGUUUUGCGUUUCAUCGUUCUUCUCAAACACGCUUAACGGAAAAUUUAGAUUGACAAACUGGGUUAAGGUUAGGAUGGGGGUGAGGGAAAGGUUAAUAGAGGUUAGAGGUUAAAUGUCAGUGAAAUCGCUGUUUUACCAUGGGCAUCAGAUUCCGAAGCUCUGGCACUGCGCGUCAGGAGGCGACGGGCAGGGACGUCCAAUGUGUCGCAAACAAACGCUUGAAUCAAAUGUGAAUCAAUCAAUCAAAGCUUUAUUUAUAAAGCGCCUUCCGCAACCCUGUCAGUAAGCCCAAGGCGCUGAACAUGGUACAGUAGAAGUACAAAUAUAGUGAAUAAAUCAAAAAUAAAAGCAAUUCAAAUUACAAAAUACAAAUUACAAAAAAAGGUGAAACAUUCUAGUACAGGACAGAUGGGUAAAACAAGGGAUAGAGUGAACCAAUGAAAACUGUGAAAGAAAUUCAACGUAAAAGAGGGCCGAAUCAAACAUGUUCAGGAAACGCCAAGCGGAGAAGGUAUGCUUUUAGGCGACUCUUAAAGGCUGGCAGAGAUGGGGAAAGCCUAACUGAGGGUGGCAACUGGUUCCAGAGUAACGGUGCUAGGACUGAGAAAGCCCGGUCCCUGCGAGUACGACACCUAGAACGAGGACAGCGAGCAGGCCUUGGUCAGAGGAGCGCAGAGCACGUGAUGGGGAAUGUUUGUUCAGGAGAGUGGCCUGAUAGGGGGGAGCACCACCCUGGAAGAAAUUGUAAACAAAGACGAGGAUUUUGAAGUGUGCACAAUAGCAAACCGGCAGCCAGUGCAGGGAGGCCAGAACCGGACUGAUGUGGUCCCGUUUCCUGGUCCCAGUCACACCAAGUCAUUUUUAGACACUUAGGGUGUGAGAAUUUGUUGACUGUAGACAACUCAGUUUAGAAAAGAAAGUUUUAAUUGAAAAGAUGAGUUUACAGCUGGUCUAAAGUAAUGGCUAGUCUGAGCUAAUGUCUAAUCUGAGAUAAUGUCUAAUCUGACAUACUGGCUAAUCUGAGCUAAUGGCUAAUCUAAGUUAAUGGCUUAUCUGAGAUAAUGGCUAGUCUAAGAUACUGGCGAAUCUGAGAUAAUGGCUUGUUUGAUAUACUGGCUAGUCUGAGAUAAUUGCUACUCUGAGACACUGGCUGGGAUAUGAGCUAAUCUGAGAUUAUGACUAGUCUUUUUUUAUGACUAGUCUAAAAUACUGGCUAGUCUGAUAUACUGGCUAGUCUGGGAUAAUGGAUAAUUUGAGAUGAUAGCUAUUGUCAUUGUCAUGAGCCGGGGUGAGUACUCUUCACACUAUUCACCAUCUCUGAGUUUCUGAUUGCAGGAGAGGGAGCAACAGCUGAUCUUCAUCAGCGGGCCGGCUUUAUAAGGAGGAGGAUGAUCAUGCUUUGACGCCGGAUGAUUGUUACUAACUGGUCGCUGCAUCUCUGGAUUCUCUGCCGAUCUCUGGAAGAAGUUUUCUCCGGUUUGUUCCUGCCUCACCUCUCACUCAGCCGGCCCGCUCUCCACCACGCUCACGCUCCCUCUCCGAAUCAGCCUCCUCAACUCAAUCCGUCAACACUCAUCCUCCUGGACUACAAAUCUCACUCUGGAUAUCACCCCGGCUCACUCCCCCUCCAUUCUUCUGCCUUUCUUCCACAUAACGCCGCUUCCUGUUUCUCAUCCGCUGGACCCCAGUGCGCCCUAAGUUCUCCUGAUCAAAAAUAAAAUAUUUUAUUUUUUGCCUUUAUACUCACCUCAGUCUCUGAUUCUGCAUGUCUUGGGUUAGGCAUCUACCUCAGAACAUGACAGUCAUGUGAAUAGAUAUACAGUGUGCAUGCCUUUAAGACUUGCCUGGAGUGAGGAGUUUAGGAGGGAGUUCGGCGUGCUGGAAAAUAAAGAAAACACCUCUCAAGCUGAAGGGCAUUGAGUCAUUUAUUAUGUUGGUUGUAACUAGAACAUGGUGUCAGAAGUUAAGUGGUGAAUAUGGCCAAGUUUAACCCUCCCGACAACUUUGACUUCACCCGCCCGGAGCAGUGGCCGGAGUGGAGGCAGUGGUUCCAGCGUUACCAGUAAGCAACUAAGCUAAACCUUGAGGAUGGAGCUGUGCAGGUUAGCACACUACUCUACGCGCUUGGCAAGGAAGUGGAACAAGUGUUUAACACUCUGCGGUUCGAUGAGGAAGAGGAUGAGGAGGACUACAACAUGGUAUUGGAAAAGCUAAAUAAUUACUUCAUUCCAAAAGUGAAUGUCAUCCACGAACGAGCUCGGUUUUACCUCCGCUCGCUAAAGAAGGACGAGUCCGAAGAGGAAUAUGUAGUGGAAAUCCACAUUUUAUAUUCUCAGAUUAACUUUUGUUGGAUUCACAUGAAGAAGAACAUAACUAUUUUCACAGUUUUUUUCCCCUCUAACACUUAGCAGAAAAAAAGGGAAACUUGAAACUGGCCUGCAACUUCAGCAUCCUGGUUAACUCCUAUGAUUCUCUCCCAGGGUCAUAAAUUGCAAAAAUUUGACUGGUCUCCCUUCUGGGCCAAUCGGAGAUGCAGGACUGAUAUCAGAAACUGGCCUGUUUUACAUUAUCUCCAAGACUGACCCUUUUCUCAAGAUGGGGGAAGUCGUAAAACUUCUCUUAGGUCCUCCUGGGAGCUUCAAGACUUGAGUCUUUAUAAACCUUGUAUUUCUGUUUAUCUACAGUCAAAGAAGGUGUUUAGGUUGUUUACCCUUAAAAUAAAAUAUGAGGUGUUCAAAGUAAAUGUUUAAAAUAUUAUCAGUUACAAACCUAACUGCUUGUUUUCUGUUUUUCUUUUAUGAUAUACCCCUGCCAAUUUUUGUUUCUCCCAUCAAAAUUCAUGCUAAUGGUAAAACUGUCCAGUUUCAAGGCAUAAAUUUAGUUCUUUCCUGUUUAAAGUAAUAGUUUGAUGCCUCAGCUGGAAUAAAUUUGGUAAUUUGGGAUAUGAACUUUUCAUUGUUGAAAGGUAGUUCAUUGGAAAGAGCCAUAGGGCCAUCCAGUGGUUAAUGAGUGAAAUACAUGUGGGUGUGGCCAAGAAAGUUUGUAAAACCAGAGUUCAGACCUCGUGGUUGCAGAACAAAGAACAAAAGGCGCCUUAAGCGAACCUCUGUUUUGGCUUUUCCAUCUUGGCCUAGCAGAAACCGGCGCUCUAAAAUUGUGAGGUCGUUAGCUCUCAAAAGUUUCGGUAAAAUUCAGAGGCAACUCCAUUUGUUUUGUUUUGACCUUCUACAUGAAACCGGAAGUCUGCGCGGUCCAGUCGAGUUCUCGCAUUAAGAGUUAAAACCAAUUUGGAACAGUUUUUCUGAUUCAACUUCGUUUGAAUAAUUCGGACCCGCGAUCUGAAUUCCACGUUUGAUGCAGCUGGAGGAACCGAAAGUCAAGCCACGAUAGAGGAAUACCACAUCCUCCUACGACCAACGUUGACCGACCCGGGAGCCAGAAUAAGUCAGUCCUCAAGCCGUGGCUCAGCCAGGACGAAAGGCCAUCAGCCGCUGCCGACCCUUUCGGCAAAGGACAACAGGUCUGUGAAUCAUUUUCAUCCAGCUGAUUUUUCUGCUAAACCAUGAAUCGUGAAUUCAGACUAUCCCAUUUCUUUUAUGGCGUACAUUAUUUCGACCCAAAUUCACGUUUAGCUCCCAAGAUUCAUCCCUCUGUGACUGCCGUAACGAGUCCUCUGCAUCCAUGCACACACACAU